rnacentral:tRNA from 1 species
GGUGGUUUAGCUCAGUGGUUAGAGCUUAGGCCUUAAGACCGAAUGGUCCCUGGUUCGAAUCUCGCCAGACGCCA